rnacentral:rRNA from 1 species
GCUUAGCCCUAAACUUAGAUAUUUUCCACACAAAAAUAUCCGCCAGAGAACUACGAGCAUAAACGCUUAAAACUCUAAGGACUUGGCGGUACCUCAAACCCUCCUAGAGGAGCCUGUUCUAUAAUCGAUAAUCCACGAUCUACCUCACCAUCCCUUGCCAAACCCGCCUAUAUACCACCGUCACCAGCUUACCCCAUGAGGGCCACAAAAGUAAGCAAAAUAACCUAAACAGUUAAUAAGUCAGGUCAAGGUGUAGCUAACUGAGAUGGAAGAAAUGGGCUACAUUUUCUACUUUAGAAAUAACCACGGAAGAAUACCAUGAAAUAGGUUCCACAAGCAGGAUUUAGCAGUAAACUGGGAACAGAGAGCCCAAUUUAAGCCGGUCCUGAGGUACGC